rnacentral:lncRNA from 1 species
GUGGUCCCAGCCUUCCAGCUCCUUGGCGAGAUUGGCAAGCCCUCCAACCUCCACAAGCUUCAGUAGUUUCUUCAUCUCUUCAAUGGUGUACACAGUCUCUUUGGCCUAGCACCAGUGACAUGUGAUGUUAUGUGCUAUGUGGAUCUCACAGCUGACAUCAGCACCCCAUCCAGGAACUUACCGAUGAAGGAAAGCAUCUCUGGGAGGGACGCAUAUCUCCUCAUCACUUUUUGCUACCC